GACGAACGCUGGCGGCGUGCCUAAUACAUGCAAGUAGAACGCUGAAGGAGGAGCUUGCUUCUCUGGAUGAGUUGCGAACGGGUGAGUAACGCGUAGGUAACCUGCCUGGUAGCGGGGGAUAACUAUUGGAAACGAUAGCUAAUACCGCAUAAUAGUAGAUGUUGCAUGACAUUUGCCUAAAAGGUGCAAUUGCAUCACUACCAGAUGGACCUGCGUUGUAUUAGCUAGUUGGUGGGGUAACGGCUCACCAAGGCGACGAUACAUAGCCGACCUGAGAGGGUGAUCGGCCACACUGGGACUGAGACACGGCCCAGACUCCUACGGGAGGCAGCAGUAGGGAAUCUUCGGCAAUGGACGGAAGUCUGACCGAGCAACGCCGCGGGAGUGAAGAAGGGUUUCGGAUCGUAAAGCUCUGUUGUAAGAGAAGAACGAGUGUGAGAGUGGAAAGUUCACACUGUGACGGUAUCUUACCAGAAAGGGACGGCUAACUACGUG
rnacentral:rRNA from 1 species